rnacentral:rRNA from 1 species
CCUACGGGUGGCUGCAGUGGGGAAUAUUGGACAAUGGGGGCAACCCUGAUCCAGCCAUGCCGCGUGUGUGAAGAAGGCCCUCGGGUUGUAAAGCACUUUCAGUGAGGAAGAACGCCUGGUGGUUAAUACCCAUCAGGAAAGACAUCACUCACAGAAGAAGCACCGGCUAACUCCGUGCCAGCAGCCGCGGUAAUACGGAGGGUGCGAGCGUUAAUCGGAAUUACUGGGCGUAAAGCGCGCGUAGGUGGCUUGAUAAGCCGGUUGUGAAAGCCCCGGGCUCAACCUGGGAACGGCAUCCGGAACUGUCAAGCUAGAGUGCAGGAGAGGAAGGUAGAAUUCCCGGUGUAGCGGUGAAAUGCGUAGAGAUCGGGAGGAAUACCAGUGGCGAAGGCGGCCUUCUGGACUGACACUGACACUGAGGUGCGAAAGCGUGGGUAGCAAACAGGAUUAGAUACCCCAGUAGUC